UCCUACCUUUAUUUAGUCAAUCACUAGUACAGACAGUGCCGGGUUCUAAGAGGGUCCAAUAACCAAGAGUCAGAUCAACUCUUCUCUAGUCAUCGCUCCAACAGCAAAAAGCGCACCUUUAUCCGACCCUUCAGGCCCUUUUAUAAAGUUUUUUAUUCAGGCCCUUUAUGAGGGAGGUACACAUUUUCACGUAACCGUACAAUGAUUGGUUUACCAUAAUAUUAUCUUUCAGUUCCCUCCCUUGGUGUAUGAAGGAUAUACAUAUUAUACAACAUUGUUCAAUGAUUGGUUUGUCACUAUCACAUGACCUCAGACUUUACCACCCCUCCCAUAGUCCUUAGUUGGGGUCUAUGUAGGCCCUCCCCAUUUCUUCACAGAGCUGUUGAAAGUUUUCUGUUGUACUGGGGUCGUUCGGUUCAUGCACAAACACCAAGGGGGAGGUGGGUAGGUGUAUGUCAUCCGUCUCAGGUCCUGGUGUAGAUUGUUGAUCCGUUUCCGUUGUCGGCUGUUGCUCCCGAAACCCUCGGCUCACCUCCUGUACUCUGCCCUUUUUCUCAACAAAACCCCAUAUUUUUAUUACUUCCUGUUUGAGGCAGCCUGGCACCCUGUUUUGGGUUUAUAUUCAAACAUGCUAGUCUAAAAAAUGUAUUCUGUGGGGAAAUACAUAAAUUACAUAAAUACACAACUAACAUAUAGUGAUGUAAUUGCUCUGUGAUGUAGUACAAUGUUCUGUUACGAUUGUAAUUGCUUUUAAAGAUUCAGUCAGAAACGUUUGCGAAUAACCAACCUGGUCUCAGAAUGAUGACGUAGACAAUUUUACAUAAAUGUUAGGCAGGGGAUUUCGUGAGAUAUAUUACGUGCAGUAAAAAAAAAACAGUCAACAUGGUUAAAAGCGGUGACCUUCCACAUCUUACCCAGGCACGCUACCCACUGGUCCACUGGGGAACCAGUAACUAGUCCUGGCGAGUGGUGUUGUCACAACAUAAGAUUGAAGUGAUUUUCUUUGUAAUCCUAACCCAAACCAUAACCCUAACAUUAACCCCAGUGCUGUGAUAGCUAACCUUAACCCAAACCCUAACCUGAACCCCAGAGCUGUGAGACGUAACCUUAAACUAACCUUUUUUGUUUCCUAACCGUAGCCCAAACCUUAACACUAACCUUAACCCUGGUGCUGUGAGAUCUAACCUUAACCCUAACCCCAACGCUGUGAUGCCUAAGGUCAAUGUAACGUUGACAAUAAAAUGUCUUUAUAACAUAUACUAGCGACCUUGCUAUUGUUGUUACUCAUCCUAAAACCCCAUGUCUAGUGUGGGUCAGUGGGUAAGGCAACUGCCUUGUAAUCCUAAUGUCACUCCUUCUUGAUCCUGGCUGUGUGCUUAGGGUAACUGUGCUUCUGGAAGGUAAACCUUUGCCCAAGUCUGAGGUCCUGAACACUUUGGAGCAUAUUUCUUUCAAGUAUCUGUCUGUACUUUGCUCCUUACAUCUUUUCUUGGUCAUGACUACUCCAAAAAGCAACCCCACAGCUGCCACAUGAUGAACAGUGUCCAGUUUCCUCCAGACAUGAUGCUUGGCAUUCAGGCCAAAGACCUCAAUCUUAGUGGCAUCAGACCACAGAAUCUAGACCUUCUCAUGGUUUGAGUCCUUUAGGUGCUGUUUAGCAAACCCAAAGCAGGCUAUCAUAUGCAUUUUACUGAUGAGAGGCAUUCAAUAAAUGCUAUAUUGAUGGAGUGCUGCUGAGUUGGUUGUCCGUCUGCUGGAUUAUCCCAUCUCCAGAAAGAAACUGGAGCUCUUUCAGUGAACAAUGGGAUCUUGAUCACCUCCCUAACCAAGACCCUUACCCCCUGGUUACUCAAUUUGGCUGUGCGACCCGCUUUAGAAAGACUGGGUGGUUGCAAACUUGAUGGAGGCCUCUGUGUUGAUGGGGACCUUCCAUGCUUCCAAAAUCUUUUUUGAUACCCUUUCCCAGAUCUGUUUUGACACAAUCCUGUCUCAGCGCUGUACGGACAAUUCCUUUGAAAUAAAUGCUCCAUACCAUACCAUACCAUCUUCUUCCGCUUAUCCGGGGCCGGUUCGCGGGGGCAGCAGUCUAAGCAGAGAUGCCCAGACUUCCCUCUCCCCAGACACUUCCUCCAGCUCUUCCGGGGGGACACCGAGGCGUUCCCAGGCCAGCCGGGAGACAUAGUCCCUCCAGCGUGUCCUAGGUCUUCCCCGAGGUCUCCUCCCGGUGGGACGGGACCGGAACACCUUCCCAGGAAGGCGUUCCGGAGGCAUCCGAAACAGAUGCCCAAGCCACCUCAGCUGACCCCUCUCGAUGUGGAGGAGCAGCGGCUCUACUCUGAGCUCCUCCCGGGUGACCGAGCUUCUCACCCUAUCUCUAAGGGAUCGCCCAGCCACCCUGCGGAGAAAGUUCAUUUCGGCCGCCUGUAUCCGGGAUCUUGUCCUUUCGGUCAUGACCAUAGGUGAGAGUAGGAACGUAGAUUGACCGAGAGCUUCGCCUUGCGGCUCAGCUCUUUCUUCACCACGACAGACUGAUACAUCGACCGCAUUACUGCAGAAGCUGCACCGAUCCGUCUGUCAAUCUCCCGUUCCAUCUUCCCUCACUCAUGAACAAGACCCCUAGAUAUU
ensembl:lncRNA